AAGAUGAGGAGGAGGAAGAGCUGACCAUGGAGAUGUUUGGGAACAGCUCCAUUAAGUUUGAGCUGGACAUCGAGCCCAAGGUGUUCAAGCCGCCGAGUAGCACAGAGGCCCUGAAUGACAGCCAGGAGUUCCCCUUCCCCGAGACGCCCACCAAAGUGUGGCCGCAGGACGAGUACAUCGUGGAGUACUCGCUAGAGUAUGGCUUCCUGCGCCUGUCGCAGGCCACCCGCCAGCGCCUCAGCAUCCCCGUCAUGGUGGUCACCCUGGGUGAGUCUGAGCUGCUGGCUGGGGGAGCUCCAUGGCGGGGCCUCCCCUCCUCCCUCGGGUCUCCUCCUGCUGGUGCGGGGCUGGAGGCUGUGCAGGAAGCACUGAGGUCUGCCCCGCCCCAGGCAUGCUUCCCAGGGCUGGGGUCCUGGAUGGGUUUCCUAAGAAUGGGCAGGGCUAGGAAGCAGGCGAGGCCUCAGCAAUGGAGCCAGCUGGGGCAGGGCCCAGGGGGCGGCCUGGGUGGGGCUCCGGGCUCCCUGAUUCACCCACCCGCAGACCCCACGCGGGACCAGUGCUUCGGGGACCGCUUCAGCCGCCUGCUGCUGGAUGAGUUCCUGGGCUACGACGACAUCCUCAUGUCCAGCGUGAAGGGCCUGGCGGAGAACGAGGAGAACAAGGGCUUCCUGCGGAACGUGGUGUCAGGGGAGCACUACCGCUUUGUGAGCAUGUGGAUGGCACGGACAUCCUACCUGGCCGCCUUCGUCAUCAUGGUCAUCUUCGUGAGUGCCUUGGGGCGGGGGCGGGG
rnacentral:sRNA from 1 species